rnacentral:tRNA from 1 species
AAUGAAGUGCCUGAAUAAAAGGGUCAUUUUGAUAGAAUGGAUCAUGUGUAACCACCUUCAUUA